UACGUAGGGGGCGAGCGUUGUCCGGAUUUAUUGGGCGUAAAGGGCGCGUAGGCGGCGCGGGCAGUCAACGGUGAAAGCUCGGAGCUCAACUCCGAGUCGGCCGUCGAUACUCCCGUGCUUGAGCACUGUAGAGGCAGGUGGAAUUCCGGGUGUAGCGGUGGAAUGCGUAGAGAUCCGGAAGAACACCGGUGGCGAAGGCGGCCUGCUGGGCAGUAGCUGACGCUGAGGCGCGACAGCGUGGGGAGCAAACAGG
rnacentral:rRNA from 1 species